CACGUAGGGGCCAAGCGUUGUCCGGAUUUAUUGGGCGUAAAGAGCUCGUAGGCGGCUCGGUAAGUCAGGUGUGAAACCUCCAGGCUCAACCUGGAGACGCCACCUGAUACUGCUGUGGCUAGAGUCCGGUAGGGGAGCGUGGAAUUCCUGGUGUAGCGGUGAAAUGCGCAGAUAUCAGGAGGAACACCAGCGGCGAAGGCGGCGCUCUGGGCCGGAACUGACGCUCAUGCACGAAAGCGUGGGGAGCAAACAGG
rnacentral:rRNA from 1 species